rnacentral:rRNA from 1 species
UAGGGAAUCUUCGGCAAUGGGGGCAACCCUGACCGAGCAACGCCGCGUGAGUGAAGAAGGUUUUCGGAUCGUAAAGCUCUGUUGUAAGUCAAGAACGGGUGUGAGAGUGGAAAGUUCACACUGUGACGGUAGCUUACCAGAAAGGGACGGCUAACUACGUGCCAGCAGCCGCGGUAAUACGUAGGUCCCGAGCGUUGUUCGGAUUUAUUGGGCGUAAAGCGAGCGCAGUCGGUUUGAUAAUUCUGAAGUUAAAGGCUGUGGCUCAACCAUAGUUCGCUUUGGAAACUGGCAAACUUGAGUGCAGAAAGGGAGAGUGGAAUUCCAUGUGUAGCGGUGAGAUGCGUAGAUAUAUGGAGGAACACCGGUGGCGAAAGCGGCUCUCUGGUCUGUAACUGACGCUGAGGCUAGAAAGCGUGGGGAGCGAACAGG